GUGAGGAAUUUUCCGCAAUGGGCGAAAGCCUGACGGAGCAAUGCCACGUGAAGGAUGAAGGCCUAUGGGUUGUAAACUUCUUUUCUCAGAAAAGAAUUAUGACGGUAUCUGAGGAAUAAGCAUCGGCUAACUCUGUGCCAGCAGCCGCGGUAAGACAGAGGAUGCAAGCGUUAUCCGGAAUGAUUGGGCGUAAAGCGUCUGUAGGUUGUUUAAAAAGUAUUCUGUCAAAGAUUAGGGCUUAACCCUAGAUAGGCAGAAUAAACUUUUAAGCUAGAGUUUGGUAGAGGCAGAGGGAAUUCCCGGUGGAGCGGUGAAAUGCGUAGAUAUCGGGAGGAACACCAAAGGCGAAGGCACUCUGCUGGGCCAAUACUAACACUGAGAGACGAAAGCGAGGGGAGCAAAUGGGAUUAGAUACCCUGGUAGUCC
rnacentral:rRNA from 1 species